AUUGAACGCUGGCGGCAGGCCUAACACAUGCAAGUCGAACGGGUGGCGGACGUGUGUGUAAUUUCUGUGAAUCUGCCUCAUAUAGGGGGAUAACUGCUGGAAACGGUGGCUAAUACCGCUUUCCAGCAGAGGUGCCCAGCUGGGAUUAGCUAGUUGGUGGGGUAACGGCUCACCAAGGCGACGAUCCCUGGCUGGUCUGAGAGGAUGACCAGCCACAGUGGAACUGAGACACGGACCAGAUUCCUACGGGAGGCAGCAGUGGGGAAUAUUGCAUAAUGGGCGCAAGCCUGAUGCAGCCAUGCCGCGUGUAUGAAGAAGGCCUGCGGGUUGUAAAGUACUUUCAGCGGGGAGGCGUUACCCUCAGAAGAAGCACCGGCUAACUCCGUGCCAGCCGCCGCGGUAAUAC
rnacentral:rRNA from 1 species